UGUUUGCAUGGUAACUGCCAAGCUAUUUUCCAUAAAGGUACUGGCCCUGCCAACUGCCAUCUUACUCCUUUUGCUCCAUCUUGUUGGAUGGCUACACACUACAUCGUAGGUUCAGAAAGAUUUCCAGAAGUGCCAAGUUUACUGAACCUGAGGAUAUUAAAGUUCUUCAGCAGCUGGUAAUAAGAAAGCAGAUAUCUGUGGAGAGCAAUGACACCAGUGUUCAUCAGAUUCAUUUAGUGGUCUUGGUGAGUGAGUGAAUUGGUUUGCCAUGUCACAAUCACCAUAUCCUUUGCUUCAUGUUGGGCUAGUCCACAAUAUAUUACUGUUCUAUGUACCACACACAUGUGCCACAGAUGGUCACUUUCAAUUUCAGAGCUCAAAUGUAAUAAAUUCAGCACAUUAAUAUUUGGCUAAGAUUAAGUACUGGGAGGCUACCACGGAAAAGCCAUCAGUCAAGUUCAUCUCUAACCAGGAAGUUGUGAUUCCAUUGCUACAAAAUAAACCUUUG